rnacentral:rRNA from 1 species
AGCAGCCGCGGUAAUUCCAGCUCCAAUAGCGUAUAUUAAAGUUGUUGCAGUUAAAAAGCUCGUAGUUGAAUUUCGGGGUUAGUAGGUUGGUCAUGCCUCUGGUAUGUACUGGUCUCACUGAUUCCUCCUUCCUGAUGAGCCGUAAUGCCAUUAAUUUGGUGUUGCGGGGAAUUUGGACUGUUACUUUGAAAAAAUUUAGAGUGUUUAAAGCAAGCUAACGCUUGAAUACAUUAGCAUGGAAUAAUGAAAUAGGACGUUUGAUUCUAUUUUGUUGGUUUCUAGGAUCGACGUAAUGAUUAAUAGGGAUAGUUGGGGGCAUUAGUAUUCAAUUGUCAGAGGUGAAAUUCUUGGAUUUACUGAAGACUAACUACUGCGAAAGCAUUUGCCAAGGAUGUUUUCAUUAAUCAAGAACGAAAGAUUNGGGGAUCGAAACGAUCAGNUACCGUCGUAGUCUUAAACCAUAAAACCUAUGCCGNCUAGGGGAUCGGAUGAUGUUAAUUUUUUUCAAUGACCAUUC